rnacentral:rRNA from 1 species
UACGAAGGACCCGAGCGUUAUCCGGAUUUAUUGGGUUUAAAGGGUGCGUAGGCGGAUUAAUAAGUCAGUGGUGAAAGCCCGUCGCUUAACGGCGGAACUGCCAUUGAUACUGUUAGUCUUGAGUAUGGUUGAGGUGGGCGGAAUGUGUCAUGUAGCGGUGAAAUGCUUAGAUAUGACCCAGAACACCAAUUGCGAAGGCAGCUCGCUAAGCCAUAACUGACGCUGAUGCACGAAAGCGUGGGGAGCAAACAGGAUUAGAACCCGAGUAGUCC